rnacentral:rRNA from 1 species
GAUGAACGCUGGCGGCGUGCUUAACACAUGCAAGUCGAACGAAGCACUUUAUUUGAUUUCCUUCGGGAUUGAUUAUUUUGUGACUGAGUGGCGGACGGGUGAGUAACGCGUGGGUAACCUGCCUUGUACAGGGGGAUAACAGUUGGAAACGGCUGCUAAUACCGCAUAAGCGCACAGCAUCGCAUGAUGCAGUGUGAAAAACUCCGGUGGUAUAAGAUGGACCCGCGUUGGAUUAGCUAGUUGGUGAGGUAACGGCCCACCAAGGCGACGAUCCAUAGCCGACCUGAGAGGGUGACCGGCCACAUUGGGACUGAGACACGGCCCAAACUCCUACGGGAGGCAGCAGUGGGGAAUAUUGCACAAUGGGCGAAAGCCUGAUGCAGCGACGCCGCGUGAGCGAAGAAGUAUUUCGGUAUGUAAAGCUCUAUCAGCAGGGAAGAUAAUGACGGUA